UACGUAGGGGGCGAGCGUUGUCCGGAUUUAUUGGGCGUAAAGGGUGCGUAGGCGGCGCGGUAAGUCGGGUGUGAAAUCUUGGAGCUUAACUCCGAAACUGCAUUCGAUACUGCCGUGCUUGAGGACUGGAGAGGAGACUGGAAUUUACGGUGUAGCGGUGAAAUGCGUAGAUAAUCGUAAGGAAGACCAGUGGCGAAGGCGGGUCUCUGGACAGUUCCUGACGCUGAGGCACGAAGGCCAGGGGAGCAAACGGG
rnacentral:rRNA from 1 species